UAUUGAGGUUGCUGCCCAGUCAAUAAAGGUGCUUGCAGAGGCUGAGUGUUCGUGUGCUCCAUUCCGCGGGACAGAAGCGGCUCCGGACAGCUGGUGGCCGUACGGGGACUCGAAACCAUUCCCGUGCCUUCUGCGACUCCUGUGACUGCGUUGAGAGACGUGGGACAGGCUGUUUUGCAGGCAUGGACCUCCGAGCAGCUCGCGCUGACCAUGGAUGCAGUCAAUCGGCUGAGCAACGCCACACGAGAGACCAUCAAGGCUCAAAGGCAACAG
rnacentral:lncRNA from 1 species